UAAAGGAGUCCCAUUUAAAAAAAGCGGGCCGUAAUCCGCAAUCCCACUCUGGCCAUCCUAUUCGACUAGCCAUAGCUUAAAGAUAGGAGGUUGUCCAUUUAGUGAAAGCUACAAUCAGUGCAAACUCGAUUGCAAUGCCUACGAAUUAUUCAACACAUAACGUGGUGGUCUUGUUGGAAAAAUUUCAAGUUUAUUUAAAGGAUGGUAAUAAUACAUAUUAAGGCAAUUAAUAGAAAAAAUUGCAAUGUUUUGAAUGUAGAUAUGGAAACAUUUUAACCAAGUUUUUAUUAAUAAACCAUUAAAAAAAAAUUAAUCCGUAAUUUAAAUGAAACUACAAUUCAUUUUAAUUAUCUGAAACGAUGUUUUGAAAAAUUUCAUAAAUCACGGAUAUACCAGCGUAAAAACCGUAUAUCCUAGCCUAAAGGAGUCCCAAUUAAAAAAAGCGGGCCGUAAUCCGCAAUCCCGCUCUGGUCAUCCUAUUCGACUAGCGAUAACUUAAAGAAAGGAGGUUGUCCAUUUAGUGAAAGCUACAAUCAGUGCAAACUCGAUUGCAAUGCCUACGAAUUAUUCAACACAUAACGUGGUGGUCUUGUGAAAAAACUUU